UACAGAGACUGCAAGCGUUAUUCGGAUUCACUGGGCGUAAAGGGUGCGCAGGCGGCCAAGUGUGUGAGGCGUGAAGCCCGGGGCUUAACCCCGGAAUUGCACCUCAAACUACAUGGCUAGAGCAUUGGAGAGGGUAGCAGAAUUCAUGGUGUAGCAGUGAAAUGCGUAGAUAUCAUGAGGAAUACCAGAGGCGAAGGCGGCUACCUGGACAAUUGCUGACGCUCAGGCACGAAAGCGUGGGGAGCAAAAGGG
rnacentral:rRNA from 1 species